AUGGAGGUUACUCCACAAUCCAGUUCGAACUGAAAAUUUUGAAGAGUCAGUUUUAGAUUUUAAAUGUUUAAAUGUUAAAAGUUAAGGAUGACGAUUAUUAAUAAUUAAUUUUAAACUCGCAUGGGAGGAAUAACGUAAACGAUAAAUAUUUAAUGGCCGAUACUAAAACAUUGUGGAAUACUGGGCAAAAUCAUCAAUCCAUCACAUAAAUGCCCUCCAGUACGUACCGCUAUUUUUACAACGCCUUUAAAUUUUACAGCCAGCCUAAAUAUAGUCAAACAUUAUUUUUCCUACCAAUUGACUACGGUCAUCUUGAUAAAUGCCCUGCUUCGAGGCUCAGUUCCGCAUAUUUUUUUUUAAUCCUAAAUUUAUUUUUAGAGCACAUUACCAAUUUUUAUCCUGAUCGUUUCGAAAUAAUUUUGCCAGGGCAAACAUCAUUUCUCACAUGUAGAUUUGCACACAUAUAGUCCGUAUACCAAUAGUACUGUACCAUCUUAUCCAGUCUUAUCAAGGUUCUUGGUAGUACUGUUCUCAGUACUAUGUCUCAAUUUCUAUAUGACAACUGAUGUGUGGCAUGUCUUAGGCCCUACUUUAUAAAUAUAUAUGCCUGACACCGAUGAUGAUAUCAUAAGUGUAUGUCUACGAACGACGCAUUGCCUGUUAUGAAAUAUAAUUAAAUUAAACAUUUAAUUUUAUAUCUAUAUUCUUCACUUGUGAAUUUGCAAUUAAUUUUUAAUAACUUUAAAAUAAGUUCGAAUGAGGAAAAAUAUUCCCCGAUAUUAAAAAGUAAAGAAUAACUUUCCUAUAUUCAAUUAUAGAUCCUGUAAUUGACUCAAUUAUCUUUAUACUUAUUAUGACAUUGUAAAUUUCAAUAAUAGAUUUAAUAAGGAAGAGCCCUCAACCGAUGGUAUUGUUACAACUAAAACUGUCUUUCAAACUGUCGGUGAGGAUUACAGCAUAUGGGAGGAGCAGAAAGAUGUAGACGAGAUUGAACGAACUAAACAGGUACGCGAACACGCUAUCGCUACGAAUGUAGCAAAGACGUUCGAUUUUACUGCUUCUACGUCCUCAUCUGAUCCCAGAAUAUUAGCAUCUCCAUCUACGUCCGCAUUUCAUUUCGAAGGAACAUCAGCUGCAUCUGUAUCAGAAAUUGAUCCCAGAAAAACGUCAUCUCUUUCCCCUGUGUUUA